rnacentral:rRNA from 1 species
UACGUAGGGCGCAAGCGUUGUCCGGAAUUAUUGGGCGUAAAGAGCUCGUAGGCGGUCUGUCGCGUCGGAUGUGAAAGCCCGGGGCUUAACUCCGGGUCUGCAUUCGAUACGGGCAGACUAGAGUGUGGUAGGGGAGAUCGGAAUUCCUGGUGUAGCGGUGAAAUGCGCAGAUAUCAGGAGGAACACCGGUGGCGAAGGCGGAUCUCUGGGCCAUUACUGACGCUGAGGAGCGAAAGCGUGGGGAGCGAACAGG